AAGACGCGUCGCGUCGCGUCGCUCAGGGAGGCGGUGAGAUUGCGCGAUGAGUCUCGCAGGAGCGCACUUUGAACUGAGACCCGCAAUGACAGUCGUGUCUUUGAGGCUCAGUGUCACGGUGAACAACAGUCUGAGCACCCUGUGCUGACAAAAGCAUGAAUUCAUUGGAAACGACCGUCUGCUGUUGAAGAACCGACUGCAGGCACAGCAUUCUGCAGGCAUGUUCAGUCCUCUGAGUGGUAAGCAGCAGCCGGCUGGUCCGGGCCUCACAGAUCUGCAGCAGUACAGUCAGUGGCUGGCCAGCAGACAUGAGGCCAGUUUGCUGCCCAUGAAGGAAGACCUUGCGCUCUGGCUCUCUAGCAUGCUGGGUGUGGAAAUCACAGCCGAGAGCUUCAUGGACAGGUUAGAUAAUGGUUUCCUGUUGUGUCAGCUGGCUGAGACUCUGCAGGAGAAGUUCAGGCAAAAUGACCCUGAUACGAAUUCACCA